AUGCGGGGUCUUUCCACACCCUUGACUCAUAAGUUUAAAAUCUACCCAAAAACCCCCGCGUUGCAGAGACAUGCCCAGGCAGACAGGCCCCUCUGUGGGAAGAGCUGUUUGUCAUGGUUAAAGGGAAGAUUAACCAAAGGAAAGGGAGACGGCAAGCCAGCCUGUGUUGCACCGGCUGGUGACCUGGAUUCCUGCCCCUCUUCUGGACCGAGUGGCUGUGCCAGUGUGGGCAUGGGGCCCAAGGCCGCCAGGCUCCCAGGCAUUCACAUUCCACUCCCAGAAGCCCACAGCCUCUGGUGCUGCAGAGCUCCUGCCAGCCUGAUCGGAGCAGCUUAUGACAUGACAGUGACCAGAAUGACACAGACCUCAGUCCCACAACCGUCCCUCCAGGGAAGAGGAUGGGGCAUGAAAGACGAGUGGAAGAAAAGAGAAUUCCUCAGGCUGAAGGAAUAAAAGGUCAGAAAACAUCAAAGUUGAUGGAAACUGUGGGUUUCAUGGCCAAAUCCCCUGGCUUAGUCCAGGAGGAAACUCCAGUCCCCAAAAAAAGGGACUUGCUCAGGAAAUUGGGAUUACAGCCUGCACUUCUAAAACCCUACAAAUGCUUUUUGUGCCAAGCCCUCUGCCCCAAAGCCAGGGAGAGGAUAGAUCACUCACAGUUCAUAGCUCAUCUCAGAUGUCACCUCCUCCAGGCAGCCUUCCUUCCUCCUCCACAGCAGCUCUGCCACUCCUCUGGGAAUAUGGUAAUAACACUCACUCUUCAUAUUUACUGAAUAUUUGCCAAGUGCUAGUCCUUGAGGACUAGCACUCCACAGGUUUACUCACCUGUCUGUCUCACCCACUGGAUUGUGCGAGGAUGGAAACAGAUUCUGUCUUGGUCACUGUAGCCUCCCCAGACCUCAGGAGACCCGGUACAUAGUAAGUACUCAAUAAACAACUGUGGGACUGAAUGUCCAAAUCAGUGAAAGGAUCAACCAAAUGGUUAUACACACUAUUCUACAUAACAAUGGCCUCGUGUGCGCACAGGGCUUUCAUUUUUCAAAUCACAUUAAUCACAUUAUCUCAGUAGAACCCAGUGAGAGGCCUCAAUAACAAGGAGAGUGGUAUCAAGUGUAUGCCCACAUACACACAUGCACACCAGCACAUGCAGCCCCCCUCCAUGUUUAUGUAAGUAUACAGAGGCCCAUACACCCAUGCCUUCCUAGCCGGCAAGAAAGAUGCCAUGACGUGCUAUUUCCUGUUUUGUCUGCAAACACGGAGGCCUCCUCCACUUUCUUCCCCACCCCAAGACACACGCGCACACACACACACGCACACACACGCACACACACGCGCACACACACACAUGCGCGCGCACACACACACGCGCACACACACACGCGCGCGCGCACACACACGCACACACACACGGUCGGUUUUCCUCUUUAGCUGAGCAUGAAAGAGAGCCAGCCGUCCACAAGGGGGCAUUCAAGGACCAUCAAACUCAGUAUCUCAAAGCCAAGACUGCUACUUAAACUUGGUCUCAGAGAGAGGAGAAGAUCCCAGGAAAAACUGAAGAACCAGGGUGGGGUCUCGCGUGGAAACCCAGAAGAGGAGGUGGUCAGCCACGGGAGAAGCAGGGCUGAUGGAGAUGGAGUCUCCGUCUAAAUAACAGAAAUGGUAAUAAUUUACCAAGUGCUCUCUUGGUAUUUACCAAGUGCUAGUCCCUGGUCUAAGCACUUCACAUGUCAUGACUUGUUUAAUCUUCUUCUCACCUCUGCAAGUCUCAGUGUUGCUGUAAUUCCUGCUUUAUAGAUGAAAAAACUAAUGACUCAGAAAAAUUAAGUAACUUGCCCAGGGUCACUCAGUGGUGAAGGCAGAAUUCGAACUCAGGACCUGUUGUCCAUAGUUCCUACUGUUAACUGCUCACUCUGCUGCCUCGAGGCUGGACUUUCAGACAUCCUACUUCUCAGCCUAGGAUUCUCUGUGCUGGACUCCACUUCUCACAUCUCCAGGCCCUUUUGGGUGGUUGAUGAAGGACCUGGAAGCCGAUUUCCUAAGAGUGAAUAACUUGGUGCCCUGAAACUGACCCCUCAUCCGCUAUAAACUGUCGAUGCUGGUUUGGUUUAGUGCCUUUGGAAAGCAGUAAAGCAAUUACUAGCAAAAGGCACGAAGCUCUUCCUCCCCCUUUGACCCAAUAAUCUCUUUUCCUGGGAAAUUAUUCCAAGGAAAUUAUCCAAACGAAGCCAAGUGUUAUCUGAAUACAUGCGUGCAUUGAAAUCUUUCUUUAAAGGUCAAAAACUGGGAACCACAAUAAGGAAGUGGUUUAAUAAACUGGGACAUCAACACAAUGGACAAUCAGGCCUGGAAAUCCACAGCUGUAUGACUGUGACAGGGAAUGGGAACAUGGAGGAUGCUUCCACUACACAGUGUAUCACCACUACACUCCCACCUAACUAGCUAGUUCAACAAAUCACGCUUGUCAAGGAGAGAGGUCUCCCUGUUCGUAUUCAAAAUAAACUCAGCCUCUGACACCCCAAAGGAACAGAAGAGAAGCUUCAAUGCAACAAAAACAAUAAGCUCAGUAAUUCUUGGCUUUUGAGUUUCCAAGGCCCCAGGUCCUGAUGAUGUAUGACAUUUUCUGAGAGUGAUUUUGAUGAUUGGUUAUCGAUGAUUUUCACCUUUCACACCAUACUCGUUAUUAAGCCAUCUAAUUCGUCAUAUUCAAUUUUGUUAAGAUACCUGGUGUGGUUUCUGUUUUCUGACCAGACCCUGAUACAUGCAUAGACCAUGGACCCUGAUGAAUGCUAUCUCCCCCAUAAUGAUAAAGUGAUUUUUAAAAAAGAUUUCAAAAUCAGUGCACCCACCAUGGUUUCAACUCGUACAAAUGUAUGCUUAAGGAGGGUACAGGUACGGCUGGUCUUCUCCAAAUGAUACUUUGUACUAGUUGCCUCUUGACGCAUCCUAAAGUACCCCAAAGCUCAGUGUCCUCAAACAACAACUUUUAUCAUCUCAGUCUCUGUGGGUCACAGAUCCAGGUGCAGCUUAGCUGAGCCCUCCGCUUCAGCACCUCUGCAGGCUGCAGUCAAACUGUCAGCUGAGCUGGAGUCGUCAGCUGGGGACCCGAUACCGAGCUCACUCUAGUGGUUGCUGGCAGGAUUCAGUUCCUCGUGGACUGUUGGAUCCAAGGCCCCGAUGCCCUUCACUGCCUGUGCCCUCUCUUCCUCAGCACGUUGGCCACUCCAUGGGGCAGCCCCCAACGUGGCAGCUGCUUCAUCAGAACACGUAAGAAAGAAGUCUUGAAGAGUGUGAGCAGGAGGGGAGUCCCAAUUUUGUAUCGUCUAAUCUCAAAAGUGACAUUCCGCCACUUCUACCAUAUUUUACUCAUUAGGAGCAAGUCGCCAGGUCCAGCCUACACUCAGGGGAGGGGAUUACACAAGGACGCGUGGUAUGCCUACCACAUACUUGAACAUUUAUAGCAUCUUCUCAAUAACAAAAACAGUAUUUUCUCAAGUUACUUGUCUAAUAUGGAAAC
ensembl:lncRNA